rnacentral:rRNA from 1 species
UGGGGGAUUUUGCACAAUGGGCGAAAGCCUGAUGCAGCGACGCCGCGUGGGGGAUGAAGGCUUUCGGGUUGUAAACCUCUUUCGCUAUCGAACAAGGCCCGCUUAGGGUGGGUUGAGGGUAGGUGGAGAAGAAGCGCCGGCUAACUACGUGCCAGCAGCCGCGGUAAUACGUAGGGCGCGAGCGUUGUCCGGAAUUAUUGGGCGUAAAGGGCUUGUAGGCGGCUUGUUGCGCCUGCUGUGAAAACGCGGGGCUUAACUUCGCGCGUGCAGUGGGUACGGGCAGGCUUGAGUGUGGUAGGGGUGACUGGAAUUCCAGGUGUAGCGGUGGAAUGCGCAGAUAUCUGGAGGAACACCGAUGGCGAAGGCAGGUCACUGGGCCAUUACUGACGCUGAGGAGCGAAAGCAUGGGUAGCGAACAGG